rnacentral:rRNA from 1 species
AUUGAACGCUGGCGGCGUGCUUAACACAUGCAAGUCGAUCGGUAACGCGGGGGCAACCCUGGCGACGAGAGGCGGACGGGUGAGGAACGCUUGGGAAUCUGCCUAUCAGCGGGGGACAACCCGGGCAAACUCGGGCUAAUACCGCAUACGCUCUACGGAGGAAAGCUGGGGACCGCAAGGCCUGGCACUGAUAGAUGAGCCCAAGUCGGAUUAGCUAGUUGGCGGGGUAACGGCCCACCAAGGCGACGAUCCGUAGCUGGUCUGAGAGGACGAUCAGCCACACUGGGACUGAGACACGGCCCAGACUCCUACGGGAGGCAGCAGUGGGGAAUAUUGGACAAUGGGGGAAACCCUGAUCCAGCGACGCCGCGUGGGUGAAGAAGGCCUGCGGGUUGUAAAGCCCUUUCGGUAGGGACGAAAGCUCUCGACCUAACACGUCGGGAGGUUGACUUAACCUACAAAAGAAGCACCGGCUAACUCUGUGCCAGCAGCCGCAGUAAUAC